GGGGCACCGGGGGAGCCGCGGGGGCACCGGGGGAGCCCGGCCGGGGCCACCUGCAACAGGUGGACGGCGCCUUGGGGACAGCAGGCGCUGCUGGGUGGCCCUGGAGCUGUCCCAGAUGGUGGAAUCAGGGAAUUGUUUACAUGGGAAAAGCGCCGCCAGCAUCAUGGAGCCCGUUGCCAGCGCUGUCCCCUGUCCCCAAGUGCCACAAGGACACGGCUGUAGAUCCCUGCAGGGAUGGGGACCCCCAGGGCUCUGUGGCAGAGCCUCAACAGCUCUGCUCUGGAGAAAUCCUCCCGAUGUCCAUCCCAAAGCCCGGCCGGCACAGCCUGAGGCCCUGUCCUCGCGUCCCUUCCAUCCUUCCCCGGGGGGAUUUGCAGCUCGGGGUUUCAGCCCCGCCACUCCCAGAUCUCAGCGAUGAUCCCGCCUCUCCCCCUUCCCCUCCUGACGCCGGAGCCGUGGGGAGAGACCCCGAGCACAUUCCCGGGGCUGCUCAGGGAAAACCAGAGCCUCACCCGGAGAUCCGGGCAGUGCCGGGGGCAGCUGGGGCUGCCGCGGACAGGAGGACAGACCCUGCUCCCUCCGCCAGGAAAAGCAUUCCCAGCUCCUGUCCCACGCACGGCCCUGCCCAGGGUGCCCUGCUCGGCUCGGGGCGCGUUCCUGGCCGGCAGCAGCAGCCGGGGGGAGGCAGAACCCCCGGGAACGGCAGGGGAGGGGAUGGCGGCGCGUCCUGGGCAGCCCCAAAGCGCCGCCAGUCCCACAGCUGGCACUGCUGGAGCUUCAUCUCGUGUUCACCACGAGGCUCUGCAGCAAACGCUGCCUCCAGCGAGCCCCGGGUUCCCGGUGCCACGGGCAGGGCUCCCCGGCACUCCCGGAGAGCUCCCGCAGCUCCAGCUCCUCCCGAGGGGGCUGAGAGUGAAACGCGCCCGGCUCCUCCGGGGGGCGGCUCCGUGGCUCAGCCCCUUUGUCCCGGGGCUCUGCGGGAUCCCCCCGGCUCCAGCAGGGACCAGGCAGCUCCGUUUCAUCCCAAAGUUUCCC
rnacentral:lncRNA from 1 species